GGCUCGGAGGAAGGUAGUACUGUGAACUCAUUCAUUCAUUAAAAAAAAAAUGAAUAGAGUACAAUGUAUGGGCUAGGUACUGUGACAUGGACCAAAGUCCAGCGAAUGAGCAUGAUUUAUAAAAAGUAAUGAAUCUUCUUAUGUUGAGUUUGAGUGUCUCUGAGUCAUGAGGGUGAAAAUGUCUGCAGAUAGUAACCAAGAAGAAAGGUCAAGGCGAGAGGUCUCUUCACAGAGGUAAGAAUUUAAGACCCAUUAAAAAAUGAGAUGACUCAGGGAGAGAAGAAAGGAACACUUCUAUGGUUAUGGACACAUACUUAGACAAUUAUCUAUAGAUAAAUAGGACAAGGAGGAGAAACAACAAAGAUGGAGAAAGUAUGGUUGUACAAUUAAGAGAUCUAGGAAGUACUAUCAUGGAGCCAAUGAGGAUAACAUUUUCAAGAGGUGCACAAUGUUCCAAAGGAGAGGAUGGCCUCCAGUUCCCCAAAGAGAACUCUCCAGUCAUAUGAGCUCCUCCUGUAGGAAAUUAGGCAACAGAUGCUGUAUAUAUGUGGGAUGAUCACCUAGCAAAGAAGAAACUUGCAAAAAAGAGACAAUAAUCUCUAAGGAACUGUGGGAGAGGGCAGGCGUAUGUUGUUCUCUUUAAAAAAAAAAAAAAUCUCUGGGAACUUCAGGGACAAGAUGAAAAUAAGGAAA